GUAGGGAUCGACCGUUAUCCGGAUUUACUGGGCGUAAAGCGCGUGCAGGCGGUUUCUUAAGUCGGACGUGAAAGCUCCUGGCUCAACUAGGAGAGGCCGUUCGAAACUAAGAAACUUGAGGGUGGUAGAGGCAAGUGGAAUUCCAGGUGUAGUGGUGAAAUGCGUAGAUAUCGGGAGGAACACCAGUGGCGAAGGCGGCUUGCUGGGCCAUUCCUGACGCUAAGACGCGAAAGCUAGGGGAGAGAACGGGAUUAGAAACCCCGGUAUUCCUAGCCGUAAACGAUGUCAACUAGGUGUAGGGGGUAUCCAAUCCCCCCUGUGCUGCAGCAAACGCGUUAAGUUGACCGCCUGGGGACUACGGCCGCAAGGCUA
rnacentral:rRNA from 1 species